UCUCUCUAGCCUUUGUGCAGACCCCCCUCUGUCAUCUCCUCCUCCCUCAAACUUUUGCAGCCACCAUCCCACAAACCCUAGCCGCCCCCAUCUUCUCCUCUCCUAGGUGCAGCCCUCCCGCUUGAUCUACGUCGCGUGGGUGCAAAUCUCCAAUUGGAGUUUGGUGGAAGGAAGAAGGAGGGAGGAAAGGGGGAGAAGCCAAGGUAAUGUUGUGAUUAACUCUUGUUUAUUUGUGCUGCAAUUCAAUCGAUUAGAUGUUUACGUAUGCGAAUUGGUAGAGGUGCUGUCCAGAAAUUUCGUGGGUGGGCGAACAGCAGUAGUUCUAGCAGUUUCUGGGAAUUUUUCGUGGGUAAUUAGUGGGAAUCAGUGGGAGAAUCAUGUAGAGCUUUGUCAUACCUUUCCAAUGAGUACUUAUGUGCUCGAUUCGGAGUUAUAUUUUAGGAGAUAUCGCUGUUUGAAUCCGGGUAUGUUGCUGUCCAAAAAAACAGAUUUGCAGGUGGGCGAACAACAGUAGUAUUAGCAGUUUCUGGGGAUUUUUCGUGGGUAAUUAGUGAUAAUCAGUAUGAUAAUAAUUUAGAGCUUUGUCAUACCUUUCCAACUAGUACUUAUGCGCUCGAUUCGGAGUUAUAUUUUAGGAGAUAUCGCUGUUUAAAUCCGGGUAUGCUGCUGUCCAAAAACAGAUUGCAGGGUCUAUCUUGUGGACUGUUUUGGGCUAAUUAGGGGUUGGAAUUUAAUUAUCAUUUGAAUAUAAAACAUGUGGGGAAUUUUAUGUAAAUGCUUCCGGAGUUUUUUAUUGAUAUCACUGCUGUUAUAAUUUUAAAGUUAUAAAAUUAUCAAGCAGCGCCGCUGCAGUUUGGUGGUGAUGGGGCGAGUUGUCGCUCGCGACGGGUUGGAAUUGUGCGUAGGUGCGGCAUUGUUUAUUAAGGUUUGUUUUGUUGUUUUGUGCACUAAGGUGUGUGUCAAAAACAGGUGGUGGACUUCCGGAUCAUACUUAGUACCAUUCCAAAUUCCCGGUGAAGGCAAGUAAAUACAGUGGUGGUUGCUACCGUUUGGUUUGCAUCCUAUGCCUUGUCAUUGAAUAUGCAUAAGUAUUAAAUAUGUUAAUCAUUGAAUUCUAUGAUGAAGUUUAUUUGUUCGAAAGUAUUAAUUCUCAAUUGUCUAAUAUUACGGAUGAUCAUGAUUUGGGAAUGAUAUAUGUGGUUGAUUCCCAUCUUGGAUGAAGUUGAAGUAUCUUUUUGAAUCACGUUAUAUGAAGUGUUGUAGGCAUGUCAUGCACAUCGCAUCAUCCAUCUUGCAUUUUGAAGUUAUGUCGUGAUCUUAUGGUCCGACCGUACUGGUACACUUUUAGCAUCGUAUGUUGCCCGAGGAGGGGUACGAUGCGGCUUCAUAUCCUUAGAGGUAUGAAGGCAGAAGUCAUCCUUGCAUUUACAGACAUUUGCACUCAUGAGGUAUAUAUGAAGUGUGACAUUACUAUGUUACUAUUGUGGUUUCUAUCUGCGAGGUGUGGUAACUAGGUGUGUUGUACGUUGUAUUCGUGCCGCACCUUCGUAAUAAAAAGGUUGUGAAAUCAAGUGGUGGUAAAACAAUGUUCUUAUAUGGUUAAACAGUUUGUUAUUAUUUUACUUGCUGAGAUGUGUCAUCUCACUCUUGCAUUACUCAAUGUAGGUACUUGAUACAUGUUGGGAAUGAGGGGAGUAGCAGCACGUCCACUUUCACUCUCAUAAUAACGCUGCACAGGCG
rnacentral:lncRNA from 1 species